rnacentral:lncRNA from 1 species
CAGCUACCCUAUAGUUGGCUGCCUGGCUUCAGAGCUUUUUUUGAACUUGGAAGACUUCAAGCCCCAACUGAGGAAUCCUUGAUGCUCUGUUGUUUUGUCUUGCUAAAAUGUACAAGAAACUUGCACAGCUCUGUCCUUCAGGCUUAAAAUCAUCCCAGGGAGGUCACUCUAAUUCCUUUUAAUGUGUGCUGAAGAAAGGGCAGCACAGCUGAAGCCUGAUUUAAAAUCUGAUCUUCUCCCUAAUGUCACAAGGACAUCCUGAGACAAUGGCUGAGGAGCUAUGCACCAGUACCCAGCUGGAUCCCUGAUACUUACAUUGGCAGAUGCAUUAUCAACAGAGACAUCGAUUUAGAGUGAAUUAAAGGAAUUACAAAGAUCAAGAUGAAUUCAGUGAAGCUUCCCAUAGGACUGUUCAAAGAUCUCCAGGCCUGCCAUUCAUGCAUUCAUGUGAGAGAGACACUUUGGGCCUAAGAAAUGAAGG